GAAGGUAUAGCUCAAGUGGUAGAGCGCAUGCUUAGCAUGCAUGAGGUCCUGGGUUCAAUCCCCAGUACCUCCU
rnacentral:tRNA from 1 species